GCCCGGCUAACUACGUGCCAGCAGCCGCGGUAAUACGUAGGGGCGAGCGUUAUCCGGAUUUAUUGGGCGUAAAGGGUGCGUAGACGGCACAAGAAGUCUUUUGUUAAAUUGUUGGGCUCAACCCAAUCUCGCAAAAGAAACUACUUGAGCUAGAGUACGGUAGAGGCAAGUGGAAUUCCAUGUGUAGCGGUAAAAUGCGUAAAUAUAUGGAGGAACACCAGUGGCGAAGGCGGCUUGCUGGGCCUGUACUGACGUUGAGGCACGAAAGCGUGGGGAGCAAACAGGAUUAGAUACCCUGGUAGUCCACGCCCUAAACGAUGAGUACUAAGUGUUACCAUUUGGUAGUGCUGAAGUUAACGCAUUAAGUACUCCGCCUGAGUAGUACGUACGCA
rnacentral:rRNA from 1 species